AUCGAUAUGCUAGCACCUUACAGAUCUCACUCCUCAUCCUUAGAUCUAGAUCUCUUCUUCUAGAUCUUGAAGAAAGAAAAAAUACUGCUAGAACUCUUUCAUGCAAAUCCGAUGGGAUUUGAAUCAGAUCAUCAUGAAAAGAAGAAGAACCCUUCUUCUUCUCUUCUUCUCUCUCUUUUCUCAUCUUAGAUCUGAUCACCAUCAGAUUUAGACAUUGGAUGAAGGGG
rnacentral:lncRNA from 1 species